rnacentral:lncRNA from 1 species
UCUUCACUAGGUUUACGGUCUUCUGCCCAUUGAAAGUUCUUACACCCUCUACAAAUCCAAAAUUUGCGAUUUAGAUUCUUUGUUGUAUGUGACGUUAACAAUUCCAUCUGAUCACUGCAUCGGUUACAUAUUAGCGAUGAGCUUUGAUUCUCACUUGUGUUGGAUGACAAUGUCUAUGAUUAAUAAACUGUUGGGAAGACACAGCCCAAAAAAAAUAGACAACCUGAUAAAAAAAAAAAAAACCAAAACUACCAAGUAAAACUAUCUAAUCCACGAAGUACUGUAAACAACUGCUAAUCAUACUUCAGUAACUCUACUGAUAUUGGAAAACACUGCAAGAAAGAAUGAAUUCUAAUAACAGAAUCAAUGGCAGGCUAAAUCAAUGGCAGGCUUAAUUAAGUGUCACAAGAUAAGUAUCAAUAAAGACCAUUUUUCUAGUAGUGUAAGUUAUUGCAAACUUAUAUAUUUUAUUAAAGAUUAGUGGAUGCAUGAACUAUUUCUUAAGAUAUCAUAUCGAACAUGGAAGAGUAUCGUAUAAAACACACAGAUAGAAGCUUUAGUUAGCCGUUGCUUGCCAAAUCUAGAAGCAAGCGAUAAAUUAGGCUCGUUAACCUUCAACAUUGUUAAGCUGAUUCAUCCCCUAAAAUUUUGAACAUAUCAAUUUAUCUCUACUUACCGUCUAAAGAUGAGGAUAAUGGGGAGCGUGCGUUGACUUCUUUUUUUUUCUUUUUUACGGUAAAUAAAAAUAAAUUGAUAUUAUCUAACUUUGAGAGGUAAAUUAAAAGAUUAUCAUUUUAGAUGGUGAUAAAUCAAAAUUUACCCUAGAAAAAAAAAUAUAUAUAUAGUAGUUUUCUGGUCAAGAAUUUUAAAGUGCAGGAAAGUCCGAGAAAACUUUAAAACCACACAGCUUUAAAGGCUUAUAAUUUAAGCCUUUAAAACCAUGCGUUUUAAAGGUUUCCCGCACUUUCUCGCACUUUAAAAUUCCGGACUGGAAUAUUUCUCUCUCUCUCUCUCUCUCUCUGUCUAUAUAUAUAUAUAUAACCACACAGCUUUAAAGGCUUACAGUUUAAGCCUUUAAAACCAUGCGUUUUAAAGGUUUUCCGCACUUUCUCGCACUUUAAAAUUCCGGAUUGGAAUAUUUCUCUCUCUCUCUCUCUAUAUAUAUAUAUAUACACACACACACACAUGAAACUUGAAAAAGACAAAAUAUAGGUACGUGUUGACUGAAAUACCUUGUCUAUAUAUAUAUAUAUAUAGGGUCCGUCUACGUUACAUGUAGUGUAACGUACACUCAGCUUGUGAAAUUUCAUCUAGCCCCUUAUACUUUCUGUUAUUUAUAUUUUAUUCAUAAAUAUUAUAAAUUUUUUGAAAUGUACAAUUUCGUUUAACCCCUUAUACACUCAAUUUUAUUUUAUUAAAACCCUAGAGUAUGAAUUCACCCCUAUAAUAUUAAAUUCUCAAAAUAACCUUUAUUUAAUUAAAAAUAUAAUUAUUGUUAAAUGAAUUAUAAUUAUAAUUAUUAUUUUAUUAUAAUCAUAAAUAUUUUUUUAAUAGAUUAUUGUUAUUAUUAAUAACAAGAAUAAAAAGCAUUAUAAUUAAUCUAUUAACAAUAAUUAAUAAUAUUUUUUUAUUAAAUUGUUAAUAAUAAUAAUAAUAAUAAUCAAUGAUAAUUAAUAUAUUUAUGAUUAUAAUAAAAUAUGAAAGGAGAGCGGAGACUUUUAUUUUGAAUAAACUAGUUCCGAUUAACAUAUUUAUGAUUAUAAUAAUAUUUUUUGAGUUGUUUGGGCAAGGGGGUCUCAUGCGUGUGUGGACUUUUAGGCUGCCAGGAGAGCGGAGGCUGGAAAAAUACCUUGCGUUUAGAUAGUGACUUGUGUGUGAGUAAUAACAAUUUUUAUUAUAAAAAUAAGUUUUAUACCAAAUAUUAAAAAAAAUCUAGAUAAUCAUUAAUUAUUAUUAUUAUUAACAAUUUAAUAAAAAAUAUUAUUAAUUAUUGUUAAUAGAUUAAUUAAUUAUAAUACUUUUUAUUCUUGUUAUUAAUAAUAACAAUAAUCUAUUAAAAAAAUAUUUAUGAUUAUAAUAAAAUAAUAAUUAUAAUUAUAAUUCAUUUAAAAAUAAUUAUAUUUUUUAAUUAAAUAGAGGUUAUUUUGAGAAUUUAAUAUUAUAGGGGCGAAUUCAUACUCUAGGGUUUUAAUAAAAUAAAAUUGAGUGUAUAAGGGGUUAAACGAAAUUGUACAUUUCAAAAAAUUUAUAAUAUUUAUGAAUAAAAUAUAAAUAACAGAAAGUAUAAGGGGUUAGAUGAAAUUUCACAAGCUGAGUGUACGUUACACUACAUGUAACGUAGACGGACCCAUAUAUAUAUAUACAUGAAACUUGAAAAAGGCAAAAUAUGGGUACGUGUUGACUGAAAUACCUUGUCUAUUUCAAUAAUUGGCAAUUAAUUUUGGCCAAGCAUAAAAAUAUUCCUCAUUAAUUCAAACCGGAUCGGGUUUCUAAUUUCAACCCGUUUGAAUUUCAACAAAAUGAAGCUUUAAUCACAAAUCAAUUUAUAAUUAGUAUGUAAUUUACUUGUAAAGGGCUGAAGUUACCACCAACUGAAGAGCUGCGGUCGACGAUUCCGGGAGCUGCAAGAACUGGGAGGUGUUACGGUGGCCGGUGGGGGCUGCGACGCCGAUGAAGAUUGCUGUCGUGCUGAGGCUGAUUCACUGACAGGCAGAUGGGAGAGAUGACCGAUUGUAUUGUGGGGACUUGGUACGCCUGAUGGGCUAAGGCUGAUUCAUUGGCGGCACAUGUGGCGGCAGUCGGCAGUUGAAAGAGUUUUAAGUCUUUGAGGGUUUCUUAAUUUUGAAUUUGGGAUCAGGUUCGGGCAGAUUUAGGUUUUUAGAAAUUUUAGUAAUAAUUUUUUUGAAUUUUUUAUUUUAACCGGUUCGGAUUUGCUAUUCGAUUCGGGUUGCUAAUUUCAGCCUGUUCAAUUUUCAAGAUCGAUUCGAAGUGAACUGAAAGCGUAACAUAAAUUCGUCUUCACUAAUUAGGAGUGCGCAGGGUUCAGCUCGGUUCGGUCCAGUCUGAUUUAGAUCAAAAUUAUACAGAACCGAUUAAAAUCUAUUAUUUUAUAAAAAAAACAAAAUAGAAAUCUAUUAUUAAAACAACAAUUAAUUUCUGUUUGAGCUCAUCAAUAUGGCCCGGUUUGAAACUUGUUAUUCCUAAACUUUUCCAAAGCU